rnacentral:rRNA from 1 species
GACGAACGCUGGCGGCGUGCCUAACACAUGCAAGUCGAACGGAACUGUUUUGAAAGAUUUCUUCGGAAUGAAUUUGAUUUAGUUUAGUGGCGGACGGGUGAGUAACGCGUGAGUAACCUGCCUUCAAGAGGGGAAUAACAUUCUGAAAAGAAUGCUAAUACCGCAUGACAUAUCGGAACCACAUGGUUUUGAUGUCAAAGAUUUUAUCGCUUGAAGAUGGACUCGCGUCCGAUUAGUUAGUUGGUGAGGUAACGGCUCACCAAGACCGCGAUAGGUAGCCGGACUGGGAGGUUGGACGGCCACAUUGGGACUGAGACACGGCCCAGACUCCUGCGGGAGACAGCAGUGGGGGAUAUUGCGCAAUGGGGGCAACCCUGACGCAGCCACGCCGCGUGAAGGAUGCAGGUUUUCGGAUUGUAAACUUCUUUUAUUAAGGACGAAAAAUGACGGUACUUAAUGAAUAAGCUCCGGCUAACUACGUG